rnacentral:ncRNA from 1 species
CAAAAGCUUGGUCCUGACUUUACUAUCAGCUUUAGCAACACUUACACAUGCAAGUAUCCGCACCCCAGUGAAAAUGCCCCCACCUUCUUCUAGAAGGUAAGGAGCCGGUAUCAGGCACGCACAGCAGCCCAUGACACCUUGCCCAGCCACACCCCCAAGGGAUCUCAGCAGUGAUAAACAUUAAGCAAUAAGUGCAAACUUGACUUAGUUAGAGCUAAUAAGGGCCGGUUAAACUCGUGCCAGCUACCGCGGUUAUACGAGAGGCCCAAGUUGAUAGUCCUCGGCGUAAAGAGUGGUUAGAGAAUCUAUUAAACUAAGGCUAAACCCUUCCAAAGCCGUCAUACGCAUCCGGAAGCAUGAAACCCACCCACGAAAGUAGCCUUAUUUACCUUGACCCCACGAAAGCUGUGGAACAAACUGGGAUUAGAGACCCCACUAUGCACAGCAGUAAACUUUGGUAGGAAACUUACAAUCCUAUCCGCCUGGGAACUACGAGCAUAAGCUUAAAACCCAAAGGACUUGGCGGUGCUUUAGACCCCCCUAGAGGAGCCUGUUCUAGAACCGAUGACCCCCGUUCGACCUCACCUUUUCUUGUUCAUCCAGCCUAUAUACCGCCGUCGUCAGCUUACCCUGUGAAGGAAGCAUAGUAAGCAAAACUGGUAAAACCCAAAACGCCAGGUCGAGGUGUAGCAAAUGAAAAGGAAAGAAAUGGGCUACAUUUCCUUACUAAGGAAACACGAAUUGUGAAAUGAAACAACACAUGAAGGAGGAUUUAGCAGUAAGCAGAAAACAGAGAGUUCUGCUGAACCCGGCCCUGAAGCGCGUACACACCGCCCGUCACUCUCCCCAAACCUAAAAAAAUAUGUAUUCUUAAAACCCUUAAAGGACAAAGGGGAGGCAAGUCGUAACAUGGUAAGUGUACCGGAAGGUGCACUUGGAAAAAC